CAAUAGCGUAUAUUAAAGUUGUUGCGGUUAAAAAGCUCGUAGUUGGAUUUCUGCUGAGGACGACCGGUCCGCCCUCCGGGUGAGCAUCUGGUUCGGCCUUGGCAUCUUCUUGGUGAACGUAUCUGCACUUGACUGUGUGGUGCGGUACCCAGGACUUUUACUUUGAGGAAAUUAGAGUGUUUCAAGCAGGCAUACGCCUUGAAUACAUUAGCAUGGAAUAAUAAGAUAGGACCUUGGUACUAUUUUGUUGGUUUGCGCACCAAGGUAAUGAUUAAUAGGGACAGUUGGGGGUAUUCGUAUUCCAUUGUCAGAGGUGAAAUUCUUGGAUUUUUGGAAGACGAACUACUGCGAAAGCAUUUACCAAGGAUGUUUUCAUUAAUCAAGAACGAAAGUUAGGGGAUCGAAGACGAUUAGAUACCAU
rnacentral:rRNA from 1 species